UGUCAUCUGAAGAAAUAUUUUCUGGAGCCAUAAGAGAAGUGAAAGAGGAAACCGGGAUAGAUACAACAUUUCUAGAAGUGUUGCUUUCAGGUAUGGCCACAUGUAGUUUAUUCAAUUACUCGUGCAACUUUGGACGUAAUAUCGGGAUGUAAUCAUCCCUAACCCAUAAAUGAUUUUUCUUAAAAAAAUUAUGGAAUGCAACUAUAUUUAUUACUUUCCUUUUUUUAGAAAAGAAGGCCUAUACGUGUUACCGUUCCAUCAAACUAAAUUAUGUUACUCCAAUAAUUGAAUGAAAGUCCAAAAUUUUUAAUUUACCUUUCAAUUCAAAUUAGUAGUUUAGAUUAUGAAGUAAGGAUUUCACUUUCUACAAUGCUGAUUUAGCAGGGAUGCCCAUCACGUUACCUUUGAUAAAUCUGAUUUGCUCUUUAAUAUAGUAUGCUUGAGCCAUUGUCAUGUGAUAUCACAUCGAUGAGUCCGAGAUCCAAGCAGCCAAGUGGAUCCUCUUGGUGAAUUCUUGGACCAAGCCAUUUCAUGCGGAGGACAGAAUGUCGAAGAAAAUUAUUGAUAUCUGUGUUGCAAGAUAUGAAAACCAUUAUUGUGGAUUCACUGCUUGUCAAGUGAUGUCUAAGCUUGAUGAUACGAUUAUCCACUCUCUACCACGGAGAUAUGAAUGAACUGACUAAAGAACCACUUCCAGAUAAAUGAAUCAUAAUCUGGUACUUUGUUCCUGGUGUAGUAAGUUCUGCAACUUCUCUGCAGAAAACAUCUAUGUUAAUAAUUGUGAAAAAGCUUGCCAAGCUAGCCCAUAUUCUUCAAUUUUCUUGCUCAGAAAAGAUUGCACCAAGAAUUUAAUCUAAUUAGAGAGCAA